UGUUUUAUUCAGUGCAUGUACACAUGUACAGUAAAUGAGAGAUAGUGAGUGUCCUUUGGUCAGUAAUAAUUGAUGUAUCAUUUAUUGUACAGGAGAAUGGAAUUAAGACAAAAUGCUAAGAAUAUUCAGAGCAUGUCCAAUUUGAACAAUGCCGUUAACUACUCAUAAUCAAUAAACAGUUUGUUCCAUGGACAUUAACUUAUUACUUAGAGAAAAGGAUGUGUUGAGAUUAAUAUGCACUAAUGCAAAGUGUCACCAUUUUCUUGAUGCAUCAAGCUUAGGAGAUACUGAGGUCAUCAAUGAGUCUUGCAUUCAAGCUUGCUGUCUUUCAAAAUUAGGACACUGUACAUAAACUUGCAUUUUUGUGUUCUUUUUAUAAUGUUGUAAUUGUUUUUGUUACCUAAAAUAA